AUACGGAGGGUGCAAGCGUUAUCCGGAUUUAUUGGGUUUAAAGGGUGCGUAGGCGGUUUGAUAAGUCAGCGGUGAAAUAUUUCAGCUUAACUGGAAGGGUGCCGUUGAUACUGUCGAGCUUGAAUUUAGUUGCUGUGGGUGGAAUGUGUGGUGUAGCGGUGAAAUGCAUAGAUAUCACACAGAAUAUCGAUUGCGAAGGCAGCUCACAAAGCUAAUAUUGACGCUGAUGCACGAAAGUGUGGGGAUCAAACAGGAUUAGAUACCCUGGUAGUCCACACUGUAAACGAUGAUAACUCGCUGUCGGCGAUACAUAGUCGGUGGCCAAGCGAAAGUGAUAAGUGUCCCACCUGGGGAGUACGGUCGCAAGGCUGAAACUCAAAUGAAUUGACGGGG
rnacentral:rRNA from 1 species